rnacentral:sRNA from 1 species
AUUAGAGUGGUAAGUCCGUUACAGGCGGUUCGUUGCGUUCCCAUCCAUCGGUUGGCAAAAGCAACGGCACGACAAGCCUGGAGGCACGCUCUUUU